GUGAGCACAGGUUUCCAUGAGAACAGACGGUACCGCCUCUCUACCCCCUUGGACCUGCACUUGAAAACACCACACCACUACCCCACCCCCCACCAAAAAACACUCAGGCUGCCAGAGAAAGUCGCGUCACACUCCAGGACUGCUGAUCGGGAAGCUGAGCCCAGGACGGGAGAGCGGGAGACAAGUCCCCGUCACGUGCCCUGAUCACAAGCUCCUCUCACACACCAGCCCUGCAAACCCCACACCGAGCAGCUGCGAGCAGGAGACCGGCAGAGCCUCGGGUUAUUCCUGCAUCGUGGUCUGGAGAGAGCUGUGGCCGCGGCUUCUGCCUCUCGUGAUGGGAGGGAAACAGUGCCCAGCAAGAAGCCCCAGAGCCAGGUGGUCAGGGCCGACCUGCAGGCCUCUCCUCCCGAGCAGCUCAGCCCCUCUGUCACAGCUACUAGAUGCCUCCUGGAGCCAAGAAAGUGAUCUGCAUGGCCACCCCUUGUUCUGAAGCCUGCACAGGAC